UUGAAGAGUUUGAUCAUGGCUCAGAUUGAACGCUGGCGGCAGGCCUAACACAUGCAAGUCGAACGGUAGCACAGAGAGCUUGCUCUCGGGUGACGAGUGGCGGACGGGUGAGUAAUGUCUGGGAAACUGCCUGAUGGAGGGGGAUAACUACUGGAAACGGUAGCUAAUACCGCAUAACGUCGCAAGACCAAAGAGGGGGACCUUCGGGCCUCUUGCCAUCAGAUGUGCCCAGAUGGGAUUAGCUAGUAGGUGGGGUAACGGCUCACCUAGGCGACGAUCCCUAGCUGGUCUGAGAGGAUGACCAGCCACACUGGAACUGAGACACGGUCCAGACUCCUACGGGAGGCAGCAGUGGGGAAUAUUGCACAAUGGGCGCAAGCCUGAUGCAGCCAUGCCGCGUGUAUGAAGAAGGCCUUCGGGUUGUAAAGUACUUUCAGCUGGGAGGAAGGUGUUGUGGUUAAUAACCACAACAAUUGACGUUACCCGCAGAAGAAGCACCGGCUAACUCCGUGCCAGCAGCCGCGGUAAUACGGAGGGUGCAAGCGUUAAUCGGAAUUACUGGGCGUAAAGCGCACGCAGGCGGUCUGUCAAGUCGGAUGUGAAAUCCCCGGGCUCAACCUGGGAACUGCAUUCGAAACUGGCAGGCUAGAGUCUUGUAGAGGGGGGUAGAAUUCCAGGUGUAGCGGUGAAAUGCGUAGAGAUCUGGAGGAAUACCGGUGGCGAAGGCGGCCCCCUGGACAAAGACUGACGCUCAGGUGCGAAAGCGUGGGGAGCAAACAGGAUUAGAUACCCUGGUAGUCCACGCCGUAAACGAUGUCGACUUGGAGGUUGUGCCCUUGAGGCGUGGCUUCCGGAGCUAACGCGUUAAGUCGACCGCCUGGGGAGUACGGCCGCAAGGUUAAAACUCAAAUGAAUUGACGGGGGCCCGCACAAGCGGUGGAGCAUGUGGUUUAAUUCGAUGCAACGCGAAGAACCUUACCUACUCUUGACAUCCAGAGAACUUAGCAGAGAUGCUUUGGUGCCUUCGGGAACUCUGAGACAGGUGCUGCAUGGCUGUCGUCAGCUCGUGUUGUGAAAUGUUGGGUUAAGUCCCGCAACGAGCGCAACCCUUAUCCUUUGUUGCCAGCGGUCCGGCCGGGAACUCAAAGGAGACUGCCAGUGAUAAACUGGAGGAAGGUGGGGAUGACGUCAAGUCAUCAUGGCCCUUACGAGUAGGGCUACACACGUGCUACAAUGGCGCAUACAAAGAGAAGCGACCUCGCGAGAGCAAGCGGACCUCAUAAAGUGCGUCGUAGUCCGGAUUGGAGUCUGCAACUCGACUCCAUGAAGUCGGAAUCGCUAGUAAUCGUAGAUCAGAAUGCUACGGUGAAUACGUUCCCGGGCCUUGUACACACCGCCCGUCACACCAUGGGAGUGGGUUGCAAAAGAAGUAGGUAGCUUAACCUUCGGGAGGGCGCUUACCACUUUGUGAUUCAUGACUGGGGUGAAGUCGUAACAAGGUAACCGUAGGGGAACCUGCGGUUGGAUCACCUCCUU
rnacentral:rRNA from 1 species